CCCUUAGAUGUUCUGGGCAGCACGCGCGCUACAAUGGUCUUCGCAAACGGAUGCAUUCUCGAAGGAGAAUGCCAAUCUUGGAAUCUAUGCCUUGGUCGUGACAGUUGCUUGCAAUUUUUCGACUCGAACCAGGAAUUCCUUGUAAUCGUGAUUCAUCACAUCACGAUGAAUACGUCCCUGCCCUUUGUACACACCGCCCGUCGCUCCUACCGAUCGAAGAGUUAGGUGAAUUGUUUUGAUCGAUAAGAUUUGACUAUGGUCAACUCUCGUUGUGAAAUUCUGUGAAUCUGACUGUUUAGAGGAAGGAAAAGUCGUAACA
rnacentral:rRNA from 1 species